rnacentral:rRNA from 1 species
GACGAACGCUGGCGGCAAGCUUAACACAUGCAAGUCGAACGCCGUAGCAAUACGGAGUGGCAGACGGGUGAGUAACGCGUGGGAACGUGCCUUUCGGUUCGGAACAACUGAGGGAAACUUCAGCUAAAACCGGAUACGCCCUUCGGGGGAAAGUUUACGCCGAAAGAUCGGCCCGCGUUAGAUUAGCUAGUUGGUGGGGUAAUGGCCUACCAAGGCGACGAUCUAUAGCUGUUCUGAGAGGAAGAGCAGCCACACUGGGACGGAGACACGGCCCAGACUCCUACGGGAGGCAGCAGGGGGGAAUAUUGGACAAUGGGCGCAAGCCUGAUCCAGCUAUGCCGCGUGGAUGAAGAAGGCCUUAGGGUUGUAAAGUCCUUUCGUUGGUGAAGAUAAUGACGGUAACCAAAGAAGAAGCCCCGGCUAAUUUCGUGCCAGCAGCCGCCGUAA